GAAACACAUACUAAUAGAAAGAACAGAAAGGGAACAGGCAACAAAAGGCCCAUAUGUUAUCAAAGAGGAACAACAAAAUGGAUUUGUUGAAAUAACUUAUUUCAUGACACAAGAGACUUGCAGUGGCAAAACCAUAAAACACUUCGUGCUGUCUUCGUGGAAAGGAGUGGAUAUACCGACAGACAGGAAAACACUGCUUGAGAUGAUAGAGGCGGUGCACACUUGGCAGCCCGAAAUGACAGACGACACACCGAUAUUGAUACUAGACAAUUGCGGCUUUCAGAAAUGCGGAGUCGUUGCUGUUUUAUUGAACGAGAUCUAUCGCAUAUUACAACAGAAUGGGCGGAUCAACAUUUUACAAUCAGUCAAGACAAUGAUGUACGGAAAAAGCCUCCUCAUCCG